GGGUUGUGAGGUUAAGCGACUAAGCGUACACGGUGGAUGCCCUGGCAGUCAGAGGCGAUGAAGGACGUGCUAAUCUGCGAUAAGCGUCGGUAAGGUGAUAUGAACCGUUAUAACCGGCGAUUUCCGAAUGGGGAAACCCAGUGUGUUUCGACACACUAUCAUUAACUGAAUCCAUAGGUUAAUGAGGCGAACCGGGGGAACUGAAACAUCUAAGUACCCCGAGGAAAAGAAAUCAACCGAGAUUCCCCCAGUAGCGGCGAGCGAACGGGGAGCAGCCCAGAGCCUGAAUCAGUAUGUGUGUUAGUGGAAGCGUCUGGAAAGGCGCGCGAUACAGGGUGACAGCCCCGUACACAAAAAUGCACAUGCUGUGAGCUCGAUGAGUAGGGCGGGACACGUGGUAUCCUGUCUGAAUAUGGGGGGACCAUCCUCCAAGGCUAAAUACUCCUGACUGACCGAUAGUGAACCAGUACCGUGAGGGAAAGGCGAAAAGAACCCCGGCGAGGGGAGUGAAAAAGAACCUGAAACCGUGUACGUACAAGCAGUGGGAGCACGCUUAGGCGUGUGACUGCGUACCUUUUGUAUAAUGGGUCAGCGACUUAUAUUCUGUAGCAAGGUUAACCGAAUAGGGGAGCCGAAGGGAAACCGAGUCUUAACUGGGCGUUAAGUUGCAGGGUAUAGACCCGAAACCCGGUGAUCUAGCCAUGGGCAGGUUGAAGGUUGGGUAACACUAACUGGAGGACCGAACCGACUAAUGUUGAAAAAUUAGCGGAUGACUUGUGGCUGGGGGUGAAAGGCCAAUCAAACCGGGAGAUAGCUGGUUCUCCCCGAAAGCUAUUUAGGUAGCGCCUCGUGAAUUCAUCUCCGGGGGUAGAGCACUGUUUCGGCAAGGGGGUCAUCCCGACUUACCAACCCGAUGCAAACUGCGAAUACCGGAGAAUGUUAUCACGGGAGACACACGGCGGGUGCUAACGUCCGUCGUGAAGAGGGAAACAACCCAGACCGCCAGCUAAGGUCCCAAAGUCAUGGUUAAGUGGGAAACGAUGUGGGAAGGCCCAGACAGCCAGGAUGUUGGCUUAGAAGCAGCCAUCAUUUAAAGAAAGCGUAAUAGCUCACUGGUCGAGUCGGCCUGCGCGGAAGAUGUAACGGGGCUAAACCAUGCACCGAAGCUGCGGCAGCGACGCUGAUGCGUUGUUGGGUAGGGGAGCGUUCUGUAAGCCUGCGAAGGUGUGCUGUGAGGCAUGCUGGAGGUAUCAGAAGUGCGAAUGCUGACAUAAGUAACGAUAAAGCGGGUGAAAAGCCCGCUCGCCGGAAGACCAAGGGUUCCUGUCCAACGUUAAUCGGGGCAGGGUGAGUCGACCCCUAAGGCGAGGCCGAAAGGCGUAGUCGAUGGGAAACAGGUUAAUAUUCCUGUACUUGGUGUUACUGCGAAGGGGGGACGGAGAAGGCUAUGUUGGCCGGGCGACGGUUGUCCCGGUUUAAGCGUGUAGGCUGGUUUUCCAGGCAAAUCCGGAAAAUCAAGGCUGAGGCGUGAUGACGAGGCACUACGGUGCUGAAGCAACAAAUGCCCUGCUUCCAGGAAAAGCCUCUAAGCAUCAGGUAACAUCAAAUCGUACCCCAAACCGACACAGGUGGUCAGGUAGAGAAUACCAAGGCGCUUGAGAGAACUCGGGUGAAGGAACUAGGCAAAAUGGUGCCGUAACUUCGGGAGAAGGCACGCUGAUAUGUAGGUGAAGUCCCUCGCGGAUGGAGCUGAAAUCAGUCGAAGAUACCAGCUGGCUGCAACUGUUUAUUAAAAACACAGCACUGUGCAAACACGAAAGUGGACGUAUACGGUGUGACGCCUGCCCGGUGCCGGAAGGUUAAUUGAUGGGGUCAGCGCAAGCGAAGCUCUUGAUCGAAGCCCCGGUAAACGGCGGCCGUAACUAUAACGGUCCUAAGGUAGCGAAAUUCCUUGUCGGGUAAGUUCCGACCUGCACGAAUGGCGUAAUGAUGGCCAGGCUGUCUCCACCCGAGACUCAGUGAAAUUGAACUCGCUGUGAAGAUGCAGUGUACCCGCGGCAAGACGGAAAGACCCCGUGAACCUUUACUAUAGCUUGACACUGAACAUUGAGCCUUGAUGUGUAGGAUAGGUGGGAGGCUUUGAAGUGUGGACGCCAGUCUGCAUGGAGCCGACCUUGAAAUACCACCCUUUAAUGUUUGAUGUUCUAACGUGGACCCGUAAUCCGGGUUGCGGACAGUGUCUGGUGGGUAGUUUGACUGGGGCGGUCUCCUCCUAAAGAGUAACGGAGGAGCACGAAGGUUGGCUAAUCCUGGUCGGACAUCAGGAGGUUAGUGCAAUGGCAUAAGCCAGCUUGACUGCGAGCGUGACGGCGCGAGCAGGUGCGAAAGCAGGUCAUAGUGAUCCGGUGGUUCUGAAUGGAAGGGCCAUCGCUCAACGGAUAAAAGGUACUCCGGGGAUAACAGGCUGAUACCGCCCAAGAGUUCAUAUCGACGGCGGUGUUUGGCACCUCGAUGUCGGCUCAUCACAUCCUGGGGCUGAAGUAGGUCCCAAGGGUAUGGCUGUUCGCCAUUUAAAGUGGUACGCGAGCUGGGUUUAGAACGUCGUGAGACAGUUCGGUCCCUAUCUGCCGUGGGCGCUGGAGAAUUGAGGGGGGCUGCUCCUAGUACGAGAGGACCGGAGUGGACGCAUCACUGGUGUUCGGGUUGUCAUGCCAAUGGCACUGCCCGGUAGCUAAAUGCGGAAGAGAUAAGUGCUGAAAGCAUCUAAGCACGAAACUUGCCCCGAGAUGAGUUCUCCCUGACUCCUUGAGAGUCCUGAAGGAACGUUGAAGACGACGACGUUGAUAGGCCGGGUGUGUAAGCGCAGCGAUGCGUUGAGCUAACCGGUACUAAUGAACCGUGAGGCUUAACCUUACACCGCCGAAGGAGUUCUG
rnacentral:rRNA from 1 species